UUUAAAAAUUCAGAGGCUAAAGAAUAAAUGGCAAAUCUCUAAAAUAGUACUUUUCUAAGUUUAUAUCACAAAAAUAGCACUCAAAAACUAAAAUAACCAAAAUAGCACAUUUCUAAGUUUAUCCUUUGAAAAUUUUAAUUUUUUUAUUUUUCAAAAUUUGAAAUCUUAUCCUCAAAACCUCAUUUCUCAACUCUAAACCCUAAACCCUAAACCCUAAACUCUAAACCCUAAACCCUAAACUCUAAACCGUAAACCCUAAACCCUAAAUCCUAAACCCCACCCUUUAACUGUAAACCCUAAGUUUGUGACUUUUG
rnacentral:lncRNA from 1 species